GGACUACUGGGGUUUCUAAUCCUGUUUGCUCCCCGCACUUUCGCGCCUCAGCGUCAGUCUCUGGCUGGAAGCUCGCCUUCGCCACCGGUGUUCUUCCUGGUAUCUACAGAUUUCACCCCUACACCAGGAAUUCCAGCUUCCCCUCCGUGACUCAAGUUAGCCAGUUUCCAAUGCAGCUCCGGGGUUGAGCCCCGGCAUUUCACAUCAGACUUGAUUAACCGCCUACGCGCCCUUUACGCCCAAUAAUUCCGAACAACGCUCGCCCCUUACGUGUUACCGCGGCUGCUGGCAC
rnacentral:rRNA from 1 species